UACGGGGGGCAAGCGUUGUUCGGAAUUACUGGGCGUAAAGGGCGCGUAGGCGGUUUGCUAAGUUGGAUGUGAAACUCUGGGCUUAACCCAGAGCCUGCAUCCAAAACUGGCAACUUGAGUACUGGAGGGGAAAGCGGAAUUCCUGGUGUAGCGGUGAAAUGCGUAGAUAUCAGGAGGAACACCUGUGGCGAAAGCGGCGCACUGGACCACACUGACGCUGAGGCGCGAAAGCUAGGGGAGCAAACAGG
rnacentral:rRNA from 1 species